rnacentral:rRNA from 1 species
CCUACGGGAGGCAGCAGUGAGGAAUAUUGGUCAAUGGACGCAAGUCUGAACCAGCCAUGCCGCGUGCAGGAUGACGGCUCUAUGAGUUGUAAACUUCUUUUGUACGAGGGUAAACUCCGAUACGUGUAUCGGGUUGAAUGUAUCGUACGAAUAAGGAUCGGCUAACUCCGUGCCAGCAGCCGCGGUAAUACGGAGGAUCCGAGCGUUAUCCGGAUUUAUUGGGUUUAAAGGGUGCGUAGGCGGUUUGAUAAGUUAGAGGUGAAAUGUCGGGGCUAAACCUAGAAACUGCGUCGAAUACGGUUGGACUAGAGAAUAGUUGCGGUAGGCGGAAGGUAUGGUGUAGCGGUGAAAUGCUUAGAG